rnacentral:rRNA from 1 species
UACGGAGGGUGCAAGCGUUAUCCGGAUUCACUGGGUUUAAAGGGUGUGUAGGCGGCUUUUUAAGUCAGUGGUGAAAUCUCCGGGCUCAACCCGGAAACUGCCAUUGAUACUAUUAGUCUUGAAUUCUGUUGAGGUGGGCGGAAUACAUCAUGUAGCGGUGAAAUGCUUAGAUAUGAUGUAGAACACCGAUUGCGAAGGCAGCUCACUAAGCAGACAUUGACGCUGAGGCACGAAAGCGUGGGGAGCAAACAGG